rnacentral:lncRNA from 1 species
UUUUUUUUUUUUUUGCAGUUAUUCACACAAACAUCUUACUGUUACCAUAGAUACAGAUCUAUCCAAGGGCAGAGUCCUUCCCAGAGAAACCCACUCCGUCAGCCCCGGGCUCCGCUGCUGCUGUGAGGGCGGGUGGGGAGUGGGAAGUCUCAGGAGCUGCCUUCAGCAAAUCCCCCCAGGUUCUCUGUUUUCCACAGGUGACAGCUGGGUGUCAGGGGACUUGCAAAUGCAGGGCUAGCUUGGAGGAACUGGGCCAAACUUGAAACUGGAACCUGCCUGCCCGCCUGCUGCCACAACCAGCGGAACAGAGCUUCUCCCCCGCACCCCCACCCCAGGCAGGGGACAAGUCCUCGUUUACCGGCCAAAAUAAAUAGGCUUCCAGUCCAGAGAAAAAAAGUGAUUCUGGUUUUUAAGACUUGAAAUCACACGCUAUUGUGGCUGCAGCAUCGUAGUGAGUCUUGUUGUUCUGUGUUCAAUGCAGCAUAUUCUCUGUGAAAAAAAAAAACCUCACAACAAAACAGAAAGCACUGGGCAAGUAAGACCCGCCGGAAUUAAAUACAAGGGGCAAACUGAAGGCCCUUCAAACGAUGUGACCAAGAGAAGAGAGAAGUAUUCAGAUGAAAUGGGGCAAAUUCAGAACCGGUGGGUCCAAGUGAAUUAGCUAAUGUUCCCUUCCAUGUGAACUUGAGCUUUAAUUCUGGGUUUUGCUUUGAACUGUGGGCUUAAUCACUUAGUUAAAAAACCCCAAGUUUCAUGUUCCUUAUAAACGUAACACCUUGAUCACCCAUUACAGCUCGCUGCUUCUUCUUUUAUCUGCUUAAUUAAGCCUACGUCUAUUUACAGGACUUAAAUUUGCCCUUUGAAGUGAUGAAAAAGUUUUGGAAAUGGAUAGGGGUAAUGGUUGCUCAACAUCGUGGAUGUAAUUAAUUGUAAGCUUAGAAAUGUUAAAAAGCACAUUUUAUUAUACAUAUAUUUUACCACAAUUGAAAAACAAAUGUUCAACAUAGCCCCCCAGAAAUCUAAGAAAACCAAAAUUUUGUUAGUUUAACUAAAGAUAGAAACAGGAAAGGAAACAAAAAUUGUAGUGUUAGUUAUCAUGUAUUUUGCAAAAUGCUUAUGUUAGCAUUUAUUUAUUUUUUAUUUAUUUAUUUUUGAGAUGGAAUUUUGCUCUUGUUGCCCAGGCUGGAGUGCAAUAAAGCUAUCUUGGCUCACUGCAGCCUCCGCCUACCGGGUUCAAGUGAUUCUCCUGCCUCAGCUCCCCAGUAGCUGGGAUUACAAGCGCCCAGCACCACACUCAGCUAAUUUUUGUAUUUUUAGUAGAGACGGGGUUUCACCACGUUGGCCAGGAUGGUCUCAAAUUCCUGAUCCCAGAUGAUCCUCCCACCUCGGCCUCCCAAAGUGCCAGAAUUACAGGUGUGAGCCACUGCACCCAGCCUUAUGUUAGCAUUUAGCAUGGUAAGAUAAGCAUUCACGUGGAACCAAUCCAAAUGCCCAUC